AACUGAUACUACCUGCGGGAACCUGCGGAGGGAUCAUUACAGAGUUUUCUAAACUCCCAACCCUAUGUGAACUUACCUUUGUUGCCUCGGCGGGGCCUACCCGGUACCUCUCCCUUUUGGGAGAGACUACCCUGUAGCCCGCCGGUGGAUUUUCAAACUCUUGUUAUUUUAAUGAUAUCUGAGCGUCUUAUUUUAAUAAGUCAAAACUUUUAACAACGGAUCUCUAGAUCGGAAGAGCAC
rnacentral:misc_RNA from 1 species